GCCCUCAACAUGGCGGCGCCGCCGUGCUGCCCGCCGCGCGGCCUGGCCCGGAGCCGCCCGCCCCCGCCUCAGCGCUGCCUCUCGUCGUCGGGGCGUUUGCGAUAAGCGCUCUGCUGCUUCGGGGCUUCCGAUGGGCGAUCUCAGGGCUCGGCUCCCCGGGAGGCAUCAAUGUUUCCAGGGCAGGGUGAAGAGAAGGGAUUUGGAAGUAUCUGGAAGCUGCACAUUUUCUGCCUAGAAAGGCUGGAGAGCCAAUGCUGUGAUCGCUGUGGAAGCUUUGCCAUUGCUGCUGGGUGACUCAGAAGGAAUCAGCGUAAUUUAUCUGUGUCUUUUCAAAAGACAAGCCUCCUAAAAAAGCAAAGAGCAGAAUGAUUUUCAACAGAUGAACAGCUGAGACCAGCAGGACUCCCUUUUGAACCAAAAUUUGUCUGUGCAGACAGAAUGAACAAACACGAAGAAUUCAAGGCGUGCUGAACUGAUCCUGAGAUAAACACCAACAUUUUUAAUCAAGUGGAAAAUCAGAAAGAAAUAUCUCAUUAAUGUUAUAUAGCAUUCACAAAAAUGUGAAUUUAUGCAGAGAAAUCUCUCUACUUUGACUACUGACUUAAACAGCACAGUGUUCUUUUUCCAGCCUAAUGUUUCAAAUGGGAGAGGAAACCAGAUGUACCAAAACAACAUUAAAAAGAGACAUACCCUUCCUAGGAAAGGUAUUUUUUGUUGCAAAAUACCAUCUUAAAUAAUGAUAUUCCUGUUCUCAGUCUUGUUGACUUUUGCAGAAAUUAAUCAUCAAAGUGAACCUCAGAGGCGACAGUCUUCAUGGAUGUUGGAAAGCAGUGUGCAUCUGCCUACUUGUUUCAAGACUGGAUUGCUCUACCAAGAUUUAUCUCCCUGCUCAACUAAUAAACUACAACAUACUUACCAAAAUGGAAACAAGCAGAACCUCUGGCCUCUGGAGCUGUAGGUAACUUCCUUUUUCAUGUAGAUCUUAGGCCCUGGAAGCUUCUUGGGAAAAAUGCUUUCAUUCUCUUUGUUGGAGGUUUUUGGAGAAAUUACAGAGAUUUGCUCUUUAUCCAAUAGUGCAAGGAAUGGUCACUGACACAGGCACUACAGAACACCCACAAAAUGUCAGCCAUCCUCAGAAACACUGAGUGCAGUCAACGUCACUCUCUAAGCUGACAUGCAUGGCAUUUACCAGCCUUCAUUUGCAAGCACACCCAUCCGUGAAGAAUCAGCUCGGUGGUUCUGGUUCGGCACAGAAGUACACAACCAGACACGUGACAGUGUGUGUCACAACACAGUGAAGAAGCUGCUCUGUGCACUGCACAUACCUAGAGACAUGUGGAAAUCCUGCCCAAAGGGAUUUACUGAGUGCCGGCGUGCUGCCAAGAUCCAGCUAGCCCAGGAGCCUGCAGAAACUUAAACAAGGAUUAUCUUCUGGCAGAAACCAAGCAAGAGCAGAUUCCUCUGACAAAGCAGCAUAGCGUUUGCCGAGGAGCUGCCAUGGGCUUAUUGCUGCCUGACCUGAAGCAUGACCCUGUCCCAUUGGCCCAUGCCCUUGGGGGGCACCUAAGGCUUUGAGUAGCCCAAGUCCCACUUCCAUGAUAGAGCACAUGGGGCAGCCACCGCCCUCCCAGCAGAACAGGUCUGAGCUUUCUCCUCCUCCUACUCUCCAGAAAACUUGCUCUCCAGGCAUGGGAUAUACGUGGGGUGUGGCACGGAUGGGGAGGAAAGCACACCUUAGAUCUAGAGCCCUGCUCAAAAGAUGCUGGUUUUCUUGGGAACCUGUCCUGACACAAAGGUUCAAGUCUCAGCAACGUAGCUACCAGGAAGAUAUUUUUCUUUAGGUUUAAAGCAGCUCUUUUCAAGCUCAGAUUGACUCACAAAGCAAUGUGACCAGAAAAGUUGCUGACUUUUCAAACAGCAAAAGGUAGAAAAACAGGAAUUUGUUUUAACAAACAGCAGCGCUGCACUGGCUGUUAAUCAGCCUUUGGGGCUGUGACAUUUGCUGCAAGCAUGCAGCAUUCCUGUUGCCACCUGAGGAGUUCCACCAGUGUUCAUUAGACAUUGGUAUCACUGGUGUCACCCAAACCUCCAUACAUAAGGAUACCACACAGCCCAGGCUGACCUCCCCUCAGCCCACCUCCUUUUGCUGUAUGCGUCAUGCUGAAGCAGCCACCUGAGAUCCCCUGUCCCUGCAAAAGCAAAGCAGGACGAAGGCCUGUUAUGAAAACCAGAUUAUUCCCUUCACUAUGCAGACAGCAUUGCUGAGAGAUACUACUUCUCCACACUGGUAACAGGGUAAGUUCCCUUCAGCACUUUUAUCAAGAGUCUUUUCCAGAAGCCGGGAUAACCAGCAGCUUCUGUGUGACAUGUUUGUGUGCAAACUCCACCAAAAUUAAUGUGACCGAUGGCUUACUUCACAUUGGAUGUUACAGGAGUCUCAGGGAGCACAGGAGUAGACAUGUCCUAACUGAGACAUGCACACGCAGCAAGCUCCUAGGAAUACACAGGCAUUAAGGGCAUGCUGGGAGAUGGGAAAUGCUUGCUGAAGUCAAGCAGCUUGUUUCAGUUAACAAUGUAGUUAACAUGUUCUCUCUGUCCUUUUACUUAUUUAUUUAUUUUGGUUAAUGCUUAGGUUAGGAACAGCUUAUCUAUCUUGGUAUCUUAGAUAGCAAGAAAGCAACGGAACCCUGCAGCAGAACUUCAGCCUAAGAUGCACUGGGAGUUUGUUAGUACUGUAGCUUCAGUGUUGGUUAGAGGGGAGGCUGGGUGACACCAAAGACAGGCAAUCGGUGCUGGCAGGAGGUCUUGCUGGCAGGAAUGGGGAAGUGGAGGAGACAUGUGGGAUUCCUCAUGUUGUUCAGUUGCUUUCUAAGGAAUGAACGGGUUCAUCUCUCUCAGUACAUACCUAAUUGCAGGACCUACUUGCAGCACCCACAAAACAUUUCUAAAUGGCUGCCGAGGACUAGCUGUGUUGGUAGACACUCCCUGAGUAAAAGGGGAGAAAAAAUGAGGAAGACCAGCAUGAGGCAAGGCAGCAAUCCAAUCAGAUAACCUGCUGACAGAAGGCUGUAUCGCUGAGGCUUGCAAAUCAGCUGGCACUGUCUCAAUACAGACUAGGCAUCAGAUAGCAGGGCUCACAUGCCAAGGCUGCUGCCUCCCAUGCAGGUCGAGGUAGUCAUUCAAGUACCUCAGCAAUCACUUCUGAGCAGACUAUAAUGGAAGCAGAGAUGUGAAGUGCAUGCCAGGCCAGGAGUGACUGCCCACCAUGACUCCCCUCCCCUUUGCAAGUCCUCGAGUCACAUGGCACAAGCUGGCAAAAUAGACAUUCAGCUCAUCAAGUAUUAAAGUCUGUUCUAGGAAUAACACCAGACCCUGAAUCUCAAUUUGUGUAUAGGGUGCAAGACUGAAUGAGGUAAGUGCAAAGUCAGACGAUUCAGUGGAAGAGUUGCCUUAAGAACUCGGUUUAUACUUAAAAGGGGAAAUAAGUGAACUUUUGGAUCCCAAAAUGAACAACCAAAAGCUGUGGGGAGCUACAGUUCCUAUGAACAGUCAUCUGUGCAGAAUCCUGCCCUACCCAAUGGAAAGUCCUUUCAGAAAUCUGCCCACAAAAAUCCCCCAAAGACAAGGAUGGAAACUCUUCUGCAAAGGACUGUCAGAUCCCAGACUAAGGAGGGACAGAGAAAACAGAAUUUUGCCUGACCUCUCUCUGCAAGCAGAUAAAAAUCUGAACCUGCUGGAGAAAGAACUAAGCUUGAAGCUUUUUCAAGCUUAUCUGGAAGGAACCUUGAUAUUUGAAGUGCAACUUCAGUCUUCACAGUCAAAACAUACAGAAGGACGUGAUGUAGUUUAUUUUUGGGCAAAACAUUGGCACUAAUAAAUCUCUGGAAAAUAUAGUGAAACCAAGAAACUCAUAGGCUUCAAGACCUGAAUGAAUCUCUCCUACUAUUCAGUCCAACUGCCUACAGAGUCCUGUGUAGAAAAGGUUUAUUCUUUUUAAGCUAGUCUAAUUUCACGUUGUCAGGUCAGGAUUUACAGUGUUUAGUUAGCAGCAAUUUGGAGAGUUUAAAAACUGUUUGCAACCUGGCUGCUGCAAUUUUUGUUCUACGGGAAAGCACUUUUUGGAUGUGUCUCCUGAGUAUUUCAGUAUUACAUUAAAGGCCUCCUUCCCUGCUUUGAACUUUGGAGAAUUCAGGGAUUGCCAGCACCAGUCUUAACCAUGGCUGAAGUCAAAAAUAACCACAGUUUAAGUCAAAAAAAAAAAAAAAAAAAAAAAAAAAAGAAAGACUUUUUUCUGUUUUGUUUUGGAGAGGUAUCUAGGCUUAAAACUGUAAAGCAGUUGCAUGGCUACAUGCCAGAAGGAAGUUCUCAGCAUAGCUGUUCGCACAGCAUUGACCUAUUUUUAGUAUAUGGUUAGGGAGUAUGAUUCUUCCUCCUCCUGCCCCCAGGCUCUGUAAUGCCCUCCAAUGCUAGGCAGGGCUCCAUAGGACUUUUCUGAACACGAGUAAAUAUUUUCUGUGGCCACGAAUGUGAAAACACACACAUGUAUUCAGGUUACAAAAAGCAGGGCAGCACCAACCCUGCUUGGCCCCUUCUCAGUUUGAAUGUUGUUUGACAACAAACAGAAAUAAGCAGAGAACUCAUUUUAAAUGAAGAGAUCACCUCUGGCAAAAGUUCAGAUAAAGGUUUAAGAUUGCUGCCACCAUAAUUCUGUAAUAAUUGGAUAAAAGAUCGGUAGCUCCAAUUGCAGUAUCACUGCAGUGCACUUGUGCACACAAGGAAGAAUUAUCAGUAAGUUGUAUACAGUAAUCCCACACGUUGUCACUUCAUGCGACAGGAAUGUAUUUUGCAGGUUUUCAGUCAGGAAUUUGGGAGUGCUGAAGUACUCCUGGAAAUUAGAAGUAAAAGAGGGGAGAAUGUCUUAUGCUGGGUGGUGUUGGAAAGUUCAUAAUAACCAGGCAGACAUGGGCUACUCCACAAGAGCACGUCAGUUUCCCCAUACACAUUGGUAUUACCACAAGCACUAUUUUAAAUGAAGAGAUGAAAACAGAAAUGCGUGGCUCUGAGCUUUGAGGUCAAGCUCAGGACCUUUGCCAGUACAGUGUUUAACUCCAGAACAGGAGUUCUGACUUCCUUGCAGAAGGCCUCUGUGUGAAAAUGUAUGAGGGCAGUAUUAAAAAUAGAAGCUGGGAGGCGCUUCCAUUGGCGUUAUCCCCAGCACCUCUAACCUACGAUCACCCCAGGUCCAAAAGACGCCCACUAACUUUUCCUACUAGAUUUUAAAUUCUACGUAUUCACAGCCCUCCAAAGAAACCUAUUCCAGAGCUUAACUCUUCUUGCUGUCAAGGCCAAUUAGCCGUUCUGAUGUCUAAGCUAAAUGCAUCCUGCAGCAGUGUCAUCUGUUUUUCUUGUCCUACCUGCAGUGGUGAGAACUGUUCACUUCCUUCAUCUUUGCAACUGACUCUUACAGAUUUGAAGACAUAUCUCUCCCAUCACCUUGAAACAAGCCUGGUCUUCCAUCCUGUCAUCCCUCUCAUUGCUGGGUUAUCUCCAGUUGCUCCACAUUUUCCAUGAAGUGCAGUGCCUACAGCUGGAUACCAUAAUCCAAGAAAGGCUCUCCUACUAUCAUAUGAAGAAGGACCAUGUCAUGCAUCUUGCAGACUACAUUCCUAUUCACACAUUCCACAACAAUUUGUAUUUGUUUUUUUUUAGCAGCACACUGUUGCCAUUUUCAGCUGGUGACUGGCUAUAAGCCUAAGGUAUUUUUUUGUACCACUGCUAUCCUAGUACUCUGUCCUGUGCCAUUCUGUAAUUGCUCAGCUGAUUGUUGCUUUGGAAGUGCAAAUAUCUGCAUUUGUCAAAUCCACCGUUGGAUUUACUGCAUCACUGCUACUCAAAUUUAUCAAGUUAACUUUGAAUUCUCAUUGCCUUCUACUCAGUCAGAAGUUAGCUCAAAACUGCUAGCUCAGGCUACAGGUGCUCCCUACAAUUCAAUCAGCAUAUGCCAUCCAAGUCAUUAAUGAAAACACCAAAUAAUAUCAAGUCAGAGCAAAAGUGCAGAGAAUCCUAUUCAACACACUCUUGCAGUCUGACUGCGCAUGGAGUUUUCCAAACAGGUUUCCAAAGCCUUACUUUUAAAUUGGCCUCAGAUAGACCACAUUCGCCUCCUUCUUAUGGAAAGUCAUUACAAUAAAGCUGUACCAACUGCUCCUCCUCUUUCUUCAGAAAAGUUUGUUAUGCUGAUGUGAAAGAGCUACGUUAGCCUGAAUCAUUUUGAUCUUUCUUCUAGAGGCCUGCAGGCAGUUUCUCUGUUCCAUUAAUUUUCCAGUUUAAAUUAUUGGCUCAGAGUUCUGAAGAGAAGGGUGGAAGCAGAGACACAACCUGAGCCUUGAGACUUUACUGUAACCCCCCUUUGUCUUAAAGGCUUGAACAUAAUUCACCAUGUGGGAUACAUGAUCCAGGCAGAAAGAUAAAUACUCUUACUUUGCCUAUGCUGCAAAUCUCUUACAUAUGGUAUAUUAAGUAGAGCUCAUUUAAGUGGGGACAGAAGACAGGUACUCACCACUCUGCCCUAACACCAUACUGUACAAGGACAAUGAAAAUCUUUUGCUCCUCUGUAGAUUCCUUUGCCAUUAUACUGAGAUUGCAGUGACCAGCUUCUCACCAAUAUCCUCAGCUUCCUUCAUUGAUCCCCCAGCUGACUGAAUAAAAAAAAAAACCAAAAACACAUCAAAUGAAAUAGAUGUGUAUCCAGUAACUACUUCCAUGACAUCAAGCACUGUGUGGUAGAACUCCAGAUGCUCCUAGCAUCAAAUGUGAUGUGAUCUAUGACAACCUUUUCAUGACAAAGAAGUCUGUGCUGACUGGGGAUAUGACUUUCCAGGUCACAAUAAAUACCCACUACGUUCAUUAAAUUGAUUUCUUCUUUAAGGUGGUAACAUAAAAGCACGUAGCUCUUAAAAAAAAGUUUUCUGCAUUAUAUUUCUUGCUAUUUUAAAACCACUGAAUCUUAUUGCCCUCUCACUCCAGGGAGUGAGAGUAUUUGGACAAACCCAGCAUCUUCCAAGCGAUCUUCUUGUUUUGUUAAUAUUUUACACUACAUUUACGAUUCCAGUGUGCAUCCUGAGUUUAUCUGGUCUUGUGCAAUGUAAUUAUAUUACGUUCUGCAGUCUCUUGGUAUCUUAGUCUAAACUGAUACGUAUGAUACAGGCCUUCAGUAAGUCCCUGAAAGGUGAGAAUGGGAACAUUUAGUGAGUCAGUCAGUUCAUAUCAUAACAAGCAGUAAAUACAAAGAAGGUUACCCAUUAUGCAAGGCUAAGAACAGUACACAGACACGCAGUUACCACUAAGCUGCAUAUUGUAGGUAUGUUUCCUCAUUUCUCUUCUAUGGGCCUGUAACCUCAAUGGGAAAUACUGCUUUUAAUGCAUUAAAAUGCCAGUUUCAAAGUUAUGCUCUUCCAGAAAAAGGACAGACAUGCAAACGUGAAAUUCAUAACUCAUUUAUUGAAUAUAUAUAUAUAUGCAAGGAUACCAAUAAAAAGAAACUAAUACUGCAAACUACAACUUUGGAAGUAAAGCCAAUAUAACAGGAACAAAAUAUACAUAACAUUGUAGAUAGGAAUGCAUUUACCCUCUUUUACACAUUCCUUGUCUUUACACCUAAUGUAUGCUAGAGCAAAAGCUGCAAAUGUUAACCUAACCUGAGUGCUUUUUGACAAGAAACAGUUCUCCAGGAUCCUUUAAGGGUUGAGAUGUCACUGCUGACUAAUGAAUGUGCAUACAUAUGCAUAUAUGAAAUUGGCUUCGAAAAGUAUAUAAAUCAAGAGCUGUGUUGUUUUUUUUAAAUCUCCAUCACUAAUACAGUGGAAUCUUUUCCAUGUGACAAGGAAGAAGGGCUACUAUUUGAUACAAUGUACUUUCAGUUCUAUUCAGAUUAAUUUCAUCUAAUGAGGAUUCAUUUUCUUGUCAGUCUGAUUCAGCAUAUUAAUAUUUUUGGAAUGCACUGAUUAUCACCUGGCAGAUAAGUCUGAUAUUUCAAAUACAUUAUCACACCUUCAUCUUUCACUCUGCUUCAGUCUAAAGUUAUUUCUCAUAUAUGCAGCAGUAAGAAGCAAGCCCUCUUCCUUUGUAUUCCAUUUCUUGUACACUAAAUACCAGACAUUUAGAGCCAGUUCAGUAUAAUCAAUCAUUUCAGAUCAGCACAGCUCUUUGUACCUUAAGAUCAGACUCGUGGAGUGUAGGAGAUGGACUUAACUCCUGGAGGGCAGCAAUAAUCUGGUGUAACUCCUACUAGAGCUUUAUCACAGAACCUCCUGUGGAUCAACACCUGCUGAAUAAGCAGAGCUUUAGAUCACCUAAUCUGUUUCAUCCUAGUUAGCUGCACAGAUGCUGGUACUGAACCAUCCUUUUGCCCUUCUUUGAAAUGGAGUAAUAUCACAGCUUACUGCUAUGGUGUUUGAUCAUGCCUUGGGACUUUGGCAUUACACCAGCUGUAUCCUCAAGUAAUUUGAACAAUACCCUUCUGAUGCCUGUCCUUCCUUGGUACAGUCCUUUCUUGGUAUAGCACGAUCGCAGAUCUGUUAAUAUAGAGAUACAGUGAGUUGGGGAGAAACCUCCAUUCCAGAGGAUUCCAGGAGACUUUAACAGCACACAUUACUCUUGAUUACUCUCGUGAGCAAAAGAAAUGCCCAAAGGCCAAAAAAAAUUAAAAAAAAAAAUCAAAUAAAGUGAAACCAGUUUCGUAAGACAAGUUUUGUUAAAUUCAAGAGUUCUGAUUGUGAGAUGAAAACAGAAGGUGCCUAUAAAAAAAAAAACAACAACAAAACAAAAAACCAACCAAAACCCAUCUCAUUAACAAAUAGAUUGCAUUAAUUUACCUAGCUAGUUUAAACAUACCUACUCCACCUAUAGAGCACUUCCAUUACUUCUAACAUUUCUGGGAAGGCAGUAGAUGCUCCAGAAUAUUCUUCAAUAUAUGCUUGCAAAGAUUACAUUACUUUACCAAAACAAACAAACAAAAAAACCCUCAGACAGACUGUCUGAAAUUCCAAGCUAAAAUACACAUAAAGAGACAGUAAUGGCAGUAUCUUGUCUUAAAAAAAAGAUGUAAAUGUUGUAUACUAUCAUACAUUGUCAUGCUUUUAAAAACUACAAUUAAGGACAUAAGAGAUGUACAGUAAAUACACUGCUGAGGUACAUUUCUUCUAAAUAUUAACACCACAACAUAAUUACUCCCCAGCAGGUAAUGCUACUUGGGAACAUAUAAAUACAAUUUUUACACUGUAAGGCACUUUUACCCAGCAUACAUAAGUUGAAGUCAGUUAUGACAAAUUUGAGGUUUGUAAGAGAAAAGAUUUUUGCUUUUGACAUUAUUUUCAGGAGUUCUGGAUUAAUGUCGAUUUAGUCAGGCCAUCUCAGCACAAGGAGGUAACAGGUAACCAGCCACUUCUCUGCUACCCGAAGGUAAAGUGCUGUUCUGGUUCUCAGAGGCAUGGAAUGGGGAAAUUUAUUUCACAACAGAUGAAUUACUGGACUGAAUAUUAUACUAAGCAACGGACACAGUAUGAAUUCGAGCUCAGUCUCAAGUACAAUCAGUAUGCUGGCAGACCUACCCCCAUGCACCUGUCAUCCAACCCUAGUUAAAAAUACAGUAGAUGCAAACAAAGUGCCUUUAUUUCAUGGGAGGGCCAUGUCUGAGGCACAAAUCUAGAAGGAAUUUCAAUGCUGAAGGACGUUAUUUUGCGUUCUAAAACUGAGUGGCUGAAAAAGGUUUGUACUCUCAGAGAAACAAAACACCUUGAUAGACCAUUUCAAUAAUCGAUCUGUCACUGCAAUUCAAGUCACGCUUUUAAUUUUGAAAGUUACAAAUACAAAAUAAAAAUGAUCAAUGGCAUCAUGUUUAGAGCAGUAACUGAGUAUUUUCUGUACACAGCAAUAUUUCUUUCCAAAACUGUAUUAUUCUCCAGGAAAGCAAACAGAAUUGAAUGAAUUCUAACAGGUAAAAUGUUAGAAAGUCUAAUAUACAGUAAUUGAGUCCCUCAAGACAUUAAGGGAAUGCAUAAGAAGACAAUGACACACGUUAUAUUAUUUAAAAAUACAAGUAAAAAAUGCUACAGAAACUCAUGUUACAAAAUGAACUGUUUUUGCAAUACCAAUCACAGAAGAAUUGUAGCAGUUUAUAGUCAAAUCAGUGUAUUUUGCUUGUUUCCUUCUUUCAAAUCUAGGAGUUUUGUUGGGAGUUCAGAGUGAAACAAGUCAGAACCCUAAACAGUGUGGUGUGAUAGCAACUGAUAAACAUGUGGACUAGGUUCAGCUUUUUGGUUUUAUUUAAGUCAGUCUGAGAAUGUGCUUUAACAGACCAAUUGAAGAAGCUUGGAGCCGUUAGAAAUGACAAGGUAUUUUGACAGCAGUCAGAGGACCGAUCUGUUAGGUUUGGUAUAACUUAGAUCUGAUUAUUCCCUAAAGGAACAUCAAAAUCUAGCAA